AUACUAAGUUUACCUUGGUGUUCAAUCAGGAAAAUUACAACAAAGCAUUAUCUGAGAAGGUUCCAUAUUCAAUUGAUGAGCACCGUCUUGAUGAUCCACACGUGAAAGCAAAUUUACUUUUGCAGGCACAUUUCUCGAGAGUAGAAAUGCCUAUCAGUGACUAUGUCACUGACUUGAAAUCUGUUCUUGAUCAAAGUAUACGUAUCGUCCAGGCUAUGAUUGACAUAUGUGCCAAUAGCGGAUGGUUUUCAAGCACAAUGAAUUGUAUGCAUCUUCUUCAAAUGAUCAUGCAGGUAUUA